GAAUAGUCUUGGCAUUAGUUGCUGGGGAUGGGGGGUGGAAACUUAUAGUAGAAUGAAGAGGAACCAGGGAGUGAGGAAAAAUGUUCAAAUUCUGGCUCUGCCAUUACCUUCCUAUGCGAUCUGGCAGGGUUGGCAAGUCACCGACAUCUUUGGGUUUCUGGUCCCCCAAUUCCAAGAUAAGGGUGCACAAUUUGAAAAUCUCCAAGGUCUCUCUGAAUACUACCAGCCUGGAAAUUCCUAAGCCAAAUUCUUCAAUGAGUGAAAAUUCUUCUAGUAUCCAUCUCUACCAAAAGAGCAACAGUUUUUCCUUCCUGCUGGCAUUGCUAUGGAUUUGAAUCAGGCACAAGUGAGAAGCAUUUUGUUCUGGUGUUUAGGCCCCUCCCUUCUCAAGCAGGCAAAGAGCUCUGAGAGGCCUAUCUAUCCCAGCCAGGUCGGCUCAGGCCUCUGGACAAGAAUACCCAAUCAAUCAACAAACAUUUUAUUUUUUUCAAAAAUCAUAUAAUUAGCAAAUAAAGGAUUAUGGGUGAAAACAUAGAUAAGCAAAAUGAACAAAAUUAAAAUCUCUCAUAAUCCCAUCACCUAGAGAUGAUCACUCUUACUAUUUUGGCAUGCAUUCUUCCAGAUGCGUUUUUCUAUGUGGAUUUAAAUGAAAAAAUUAGAUCCCUGCAGUAUAUACCUAGCAUUUUGAACCUGCUUUCCCCAGCUAACAUUAUACUGUAAGCAAUUUUCCAUCUGUUACAUACUCCACAUCUUUAAUGGCUUCAAAGUAUUCCAUUGUAUGGGUGUGAUAUUUAACCAAUCCCUUGUUGGACCUUUUGGUUAUUUCUAUUUUUCACUCUGAUGAAUGUCAGUGUCCUUAAAUAUUUGUGUACAUGUUUCAGGCUUUCUUAAAUUUCUCAGAAGAGGAAUUGCUGGGUUGACAGAUUUGACCAUAUUAAAAGAUUUUAAUACACAUUUCUUUUUGCUUUCUAGAAAGUUUGUAUAAAACGAUACAAGUUUAUGUAUUACUACUUUAAGAGCAAAUAGGAGGGUUGCCUAUGUUAGUCAAGGUUUGGGAAGAUCAUGGAAAGCUAUGCAAAGGAAGCAGCUAGGUGGAGAUCUGUAGGAUAAACAGGAGUGAGCCAAACAAAGAGAGACAGCAUGUGAGAAGGCCCAAAGUCAUAGCACUCUUAGGACGGAAAUAAAUUUCAUCUGGUUAGAGUUUGGAAGGCAGGCAAGGAACAGGAAACUAAUGGGAGAACUAAGGAAAAAAACCGAUGCAGAGUGAUGGAAGAUUUGUAUUUUAGGAUGGCUACUGUGUCUUCAGUGUAGAGUAUGUUGGAGGGGACAAGAAUGAACACAGAGUGACAAGUUAGGAGGCUGAGGAGGCUGUUGCAGUCUCCCAGGUGAGCAAUAUGGCAGUUGCCAAGACUGAGAUAAUGACAGCAGGAGUGGUAAAGACAGGCUAAAGGGACAUUAGAGCGGUAAAAGGAUAGGACUUAGUGAUUGGAUAGGACGAGGAUGGGAGAAAGAGAAGCCUUAAAGACGGCUCUCAGGUUCUUUUUUGACCCGGGGGAAAACGGAGAACCUAGACAUUGCCCUAUAGCUUUGUGAUAGGAAGAUGAUUAUGUUCAGUUUUGGAACAUGCUAAACGGUUCCUGUAAACAUGUGAAUCUCUAGAAGAGAGAUCUGGGCUGAAGUGGCUGCUGGGACCUGAAGUCUUGGGGAAGAUGCAGUGAAGUCACCCCUCACCAAGGAAUGUCUAAGACAGAACCUCAAGGCACAUCAACUUGUAAGGGGUGUGUAAGGGAGGACAGAGACACUAGGAAGAAAUAGCCAGAAGUAGGAAGAAAACCUUGAGUGCCUGUUGUCAUGGAAACCAAGGGAAAGGAAUUUUUCAGACAACGGUUGGCAGAAUCUGACACAGAUCUGUACCUCACAUUUUCUCAAAGAUUACCUCAUUUAAACCUCCCAACAGAUUACUGGGGUGGGAACCUUCAUCAUACAAUUUUGGAAGAGGAAACUGAAGACCAGAGAGGGAAGACAAAUUUCCUAAGGUCCAGCAAGUCAGUGACAGAUAAAAUUUGAACCCAGGUCUUGAUUGGCAGGCUGUGGGCCAGGAGGGAGAGCCUAGCACAUAGAAUUUUAGCGUGAGCUCCUGGAGUGGGUGACAGGAGAAAUAAUGGCCACCAUUCAGUGUGUGCCUAAUGUGUGCUGGCACUGCUCUAGGCCUCACUUGCAUUAUUUCUAAUCCUCACAACCACCAGGAGAGGUAGUAAUUUUACUUCUAGUGCACAGAGGAGCCUGGGGCCCAGAAGCAAGUGACUUGUCCGACUUCAUGCCUCUUGGCAGGUGCAGGACCAGGUUGGGAACCCAGGUCCUCCCCUUCUCCAACGACGAGCAUGCGAUCACGCUCGCCUUUCUUCCCCGAGUAGGGAGGCGGCCGCUCCAGCGGGAACUCCUGGAGGCGCCCCCCCACCAACCGCCCCGAGACCACCGUUCGCUCGUCGCCCCCGCGCGCAUGCCUAGCCGCUGAGGCGUGAGAGCCGCUGCCCGGGGCCCUCCCUCUUGCGCGCCUUGCACAACCGGGCCAGAUAAGUGCUGCGUCUCUGGGCAAUUAUCGCCUUCCUGCCGCCAUCGGGGCUGGCCGGGCAGAAAGCCAAAGGCCAAGGGACUCGCAGCCACCCAAGGAGAGCGGGACCCACCGGUGGGGCUAGGUACCACGCCACGCGGUUGCACAACGCCGGGACGCGGGAGGCGGCGCGGCGCGAUGACGUCACGCUCAGCCCGGCGCCCGAGCCCCAGUCCCCUGCGCCCAGGGCUGACUGGAGGAAAGCCGGCGGGGUGUGCUGCUAGCUAGUCCACUGUGAGGCGUUCCCUUUCAUCCCUCCCUCCUUUCUUCCUUCACCUCUCUAUCCUUCUUCCUUCCUUUUCCCUCUUGCCUCCCUCUCUACAUCCUUCUCUCCCUUCCUCCAUCGCUUCCUCGCUCCUCCCCCCUCCCCUGUCUCCCUCCUUCCUCCCCCUUAUCAUUUCUUCACUUAAAAAAAUAAUUUUCUAAGGUCUGUUUUUAAUUAUGGUAAAAACAAUAUAAAAUUUACCAUCUUAAGUGUAUGGUGAUGUUAAGCACAUUCACACUGUUUUGCAACUAUCUCCAGAACUUUUUUUUUUUUCACCUUGCAAAAUAUCCAUCGAAUAACAACUUCUUAUUUCCUCCUCCCCUCAGCCCCUGGUAACCACGUUCUGCUUUCCUUUUCUUCAUUUCUUCCUUUUGCCUUUUUGUGCCUUUUCCUUUAUCUCUCCUUUUUCUUCCCCUCCCUCUUUUCAUCUUCCUCUGGUUCUCCCUCUUCUUGAAAACCUGAUGGCCCUGCUGCACCCUUGCCAGCCCUCUACCGUCUGUGCCAGGGGUUGGGCCAAGAGACCUGUCAGCGAGGCUGUUACAGGGCUGGUGAGGAAACUGAGCCUCAGAAAGGUGAAGGUAUCGCCUAUGGCCAUGGAGCUGGUCUCUAGCCAACAACUAGCAGUGAGUGAAUUAGGAAGAGGAUCCUCCAGCCCCAGUCAAGCCUUCAGAGACCUGAAGCUCUGGCCAAUACCUUGAUUGCAAUCUCAUGACAGACUCUGAGCCAGACCACCUGGCUAAGCUGCUCUUAGAUCUCAGACCCACAGAAGCGGGGCGCUAACCAAUGUUAGCCACCAAGGCUGAACAUCAUUUCUCACACAACAACGGAUAACUAAUAAUUAUUAUUUAUUUUUAAACAUUAAUUAUCUAUUGCCUGCCAAGCAAGGGGGAUUACAGGGAUGAUGAAAUACCUGCCCUCAAGGAGCAUUUGGUCUGGUGAAAUGUAAAACGGUGUUUGCAUAAAGUGUGAGACAGUGCCAAUGUACUGUAUAGCAUAGAUGAGGUAGAAAAACUCUUUAUUAAGACAGAAUUCUGUAAAGGGGGCUGCUGCUCUGGUUGGGCCCAUCUGGAGCACUAGAAUACAGGCUGACAUUCAGGCAGAAUCCAAUCCAUAUAACAGUGCCUGGCGGGACUUGAUGAAGGAAAAGCUCUUUAAAAUGACACACUGCAGCUAAAUAGACACCUAUCCUAUGAUUCAGCCAUCCCACUCCUGGGUAUAUACCUCAGACAAAUGUAGUCCACCAGAAGAAAAGUACAAGAGUAUAUAUUCAUAGCAGCAUUAUCUGUAAUAUCCCUAACCUAGAAAUGGCCCAGUGUCCAAAAACAAAUUGUAAUAUACUCACAGACUAGAAUACUUCUCAGCAAUAAAAAAGAACAAACUACUGAUACAUGCAGCCACACGAAUGAACCUUAAAGACAUGCUGAACAAAAGAAGUCAGACACAAAGGGAUAGAUAUGUAUAUACCAAGAUCAAGAUAUAGGGCAUUACUAGUAGACUAUAUUCACAGAAGCUCAGUUAAAAAAUUAUUAAGAUAAAUGGGACCACUAAAAAAAGAAUGAAGCCUAUUAUUAAAUAAGAAUCACAUAUAUUUUUAACAUAUUUAUAUCUAAGUAUAUAUACAAUGCACUAUAAACUGAUGGGCUGUGCCAGACAUCCAGCUUCUUGUUGGAGGGCCCCACUGGCUUAGCUAUGUGACUAAAGCAGCAGUCUCUAGCCAGGGUAUACUGGAGUACUGCAAAAAUGUAAACUCACUUUCAGCUAUCAUGAGUCCUGAUGUGGUUGGAAAACUGAGCUGGAGGGAUUCUGGGAUGGAGGGUAGCUGGGGUACAACUCACUGUGAGUGAGAAAUAAGCACAAGUAGCAAGGGGUCAUCCUGACAUAGGAUUACACACAGGAGCUCUGCUUUGUGGGUACGUAAGGCAAUACAGCCUGAGCAGCCAUCAGUUCCCUUACAUGGUGUCACCACGUUGAGGGGCAAGCAAGUAAACCCUGAAACCCUGGGAGUACGGUAUAAUCCCUUCAGGCAUGCCUCUAGAAACCCUAGUAUUUGACAGUGUGUCCCAAUCUCCAAGGAUCAAGAAUGACCCAACUAAGGAAAGGUCCCCAUUCAGGUCUGUUCUGGGCCUGUCUUGUCCCACGUCCACACAUCUGCCUCUGGACUCCUGUGCCACUUGCAGGAGGGUGAUACUUCUUGUCUCAGGGUGUUUAUCAAUGUUUUAAGAACAUCUUUAGGCGUGUCUUAGGACACUACUCAAAGUUCAUGACAAGUGCAGACCUUUGUUAAUUUAUUCCUAAAGAAGUCUGUGUCUUCUGUUCUGUCUUCAAGAUCCCAGCCCCUUGCUUUCUGUAUCCAUCUGGGUGUUGCCUUCUUUGUCUACUGUCAAAGUCAGGCUUUGUCAUAUGACUUGCUUUGGCCAGUGGACCUUUGCAAAUGUAAUGCAAGCAGAGAUUUCAGGAGCACUUGCACAAUGGGGCUUGCCCUCUCUCUUACUGCUGGGAACCUGAGUCCACCAUGUAAACAAGUGCAAGCUAGCCUCCUGGAGGAUAAGAUCAUGUCAAGAGAGAGUCUAGCCAUCCCAGCUGUCCCACACAUCCCAGCUGAGGCCCCACACGCGAGGGAGGCCAGCCCAGCCCAGAAGAACCAUCUACCCAAGCUACAGACCUGUGAGAAAUGAUCAGUCGUUUUUUGUUUUGUUUUAAGCUACUAUGUUUUGGGGUGGUGUGUUACGCAGAACAACCUGACAGAUACAGAGAGGAUGAUACCAUUUACUAAGAUCCGGCUGAAGAAGAAGUGAUGGUCUGGGAGGGGGACAUCCCUGGAAGGAGAGGCAGAAUCAGCGAAGGCACAGAGGCAUGAAACAGUAUGGCACAUGUGGACACCUCAUACUUUGGUCUCACUGGAGCACAGGGAUAGAGUUUGGAAAUGAUGAAGGAUAUGGCUAAAGAGUAGGAAGGGGCUAGAUCAGAAAGAGCCUUCUAUACCCGGUUAAGGGAUUUCUGGUGUCCUGAGGUCUAUAGGAAAACCAUGGAAAGCUUUUAAGCAGUAAAGAGGCAUAACUAGGUUUGCAUCCUUAAAACUAUUUAUAGCUAUUAUUAAUGGAGUGUUUACUGUGUUCCAGGCACUUUUGACAUGCAUGGUGAAAAGAAGGCGCAGGUUGCAGGGUGGAGAGUGGGUUGGAGGUGGUUAGGAGGCAACAGGCAGACCAGCCAGCAGCUCCCGCGGGGAUUUGGGGAGAGUGGAUGAAAGCCUGAACCAAGGCAGUGGCCACUGGGAUGGAUGAGAAAGGACGGGCCAGAUGGGCAAGGUGUUCAAGAGGCAGGACUACCUAACACCUGCAUCAGAGGAAUGAGGAAGGAGGAGGGGUCUGCGAUGACUGUUGAGGGUCUGGCUUAGGUGGCUGUGGAGAAUUUUGGAAUGAGUGGCAUUGAGGAUUCUUGGUAUCAUAUAAACCCAGUUCCAAAGAGCUGAAGGAGGCUUGAUGACAGUCUCCCAAUCCAUUCUUUCUACUUCACUUACCACUGAUGAUGCCCAAAGCUGACUGUAGGUAGUCUAGGGCCAAGCCAUUUUUUCUAUGAUUGGGGGAUUAUUUUUAUUGUGAUAGGAACUACCUGCAUGUAAGACCCAUGAUUUCACAGAUAUCAUUGCUUAGCAAAGGGCCGUGGAAGUUGUUUCAAUUUAAAAAGUAAAUUGACAAAAAGAAAAACAUCAUCAGUAAUGGUACAGGUGUACACAGAUAGGGCUGAAUUUAGGAAUGAAUGAAGUUCAGGGCACUCUGCACCACCUGGAGCACAUAUCUUUUCCAUAGGAUCCCAGGUAGUGAAUGCCCAUCUCUUCAAGUGGCCAGGUGGGACUGACCUGCUGACCUGCGGCAGAGCCAGGCUGUCCAGUCAGAUCUGGCCUCGGCCCUUGGGAACUGAUGAGAACAUCUUUGUCUUCGAGUCGCCUUCAAAGCCAAGUACAGCUUGUCCAGGUUAAGGAUUAGAUGGUGGCUGUAAAGAGGUAGAGAAAAUGAACAUGCCAGUUCCUUAGAGGCCUUCAGGAGCCUCUGGCUCAGGGAGAUGAACUUGUCCUCACCUGCCUGCCGCCUGCAACCUACCUGCCUUUUGUGCCGAUGUCUGCAUUGUCCUGAGAAAAGACUCCUGAACUCAGGCUAAAACUGUGUGCGGAUGCGGGGACCUUGUCUUGGGAGACACUGUGAGGGAUUGCACCCAUCAUGCCCCUGGGAGCCCCAAGCCACCCACUGUGCAGGUAAAGGGCAACACCAGGCACCUGUGAGGGUGCAGCCUCUGGCUUAGCAGAUGGUCAGACGAGCCCAGCAGCCUGCCCUAGCUACCAGGUGGUGGAUUCCGGCCUGGACACAGCCUUUCCCUGUGGGCUGGGCUCCCUUUGUGCAAGUCCGCAACACAAUGUGCAUAAUCCUGCAGACCUGCCCAGCACAGGCGGGGCGGGCAGGAGCGCGCUUGGCUUCCUGUCUUGCUGAAUGGCUUGAAUGGGCGCUGUGCCUGCUCUUAAUCCCCCAGCGGCUGACUGUCCCAGCAGGGGGGCAGAGGAGGAGGGAGAGGUGGAGAGCAGCUCUCAUGUCUCCAGGCUGGAAGCUAGCAGGGCCCUGCUCUGACCAGUUCUGCCUAUGUUUCUGGGGCAAGACAUCGGGGCCAGCAAUGACCCUGCUUGGGAUCCCCUCUGGGAACCCUCCGGCCUUCUCCCAGCACUGUCUUUGGCCAGAAUUGGGUCUGCUAGGGUUAAAAAUAGGGAACUAAUGGUGGAGGAGAGGAGCUUUGAGAUACCAGCACAUCAGAACUGGAAGCACCCUUAGGAAUUCCAUUGCCUGCCUCUCAUUUUACAGAUGGGGAAAUCGAGGCCCAUAUGGGUCAGAGAUGUGUCUAAGGUCAUACAACGAGUAAGUGGUGGACAUAAAAUGAGAACCAAAGGCUCCUCAUUUCAGUCAGGUGGCCUUUCCAGUAGUCCAGCAACUGUUUCCCGAACUGUUGCCUGGAGCAGCCCCAACUGCUGGGGGACAUUUAGGGCUCCUGACAAAUUAAUUGCAUGGUGAGAUACACCAGGAACUGCUAUAUAUGCACAAAGCACAUUAAGAAGCAAAGGCCAUGAGAAGUCUUGCAGUACGUAAACUUAGAACUCUUUCCAAACUUACUUGUUUACAUGGCAUCUUUUCUCACACUCUGAAGCAUACAAUCUGAAAAUUCUGCACUAGACCCUGGUGUGAACUCUCCAGAAGUGAUUCCAGAGAUGGUGAGGACAUUUCUGUUUAACCUCCCUGGAAUUUAUCCCACACAGGCACCUAAAGAUAGGCAGCAUCUCUUUUUAGAUUCAGAGUCAACCAGUGUUUAUUGAGUAUCUCUUACCAACAGGGGCCUUCUGCCUCAGUUAUCUCUGACAGCCCUGUUGGAUGACUAAUAGAACCUCAACUAUACAAUCAUGGAAACUGAGGCACAGGGUACUGAGCAAGUUGUUUAAAGUCAUUCAGUCAACAGUCAGCAAAAUUGGGUUUCAAGUCAAGGUCUGCCUCGCCUUAAAUCCCAUGUUCUUGGUCUUCUUCCAUGUUCCCCUCUCCCUUUUCAUAAUUUUUUAUGAAAAGCCAAAAAUAUCAAACUAGAAACAAAAGAAAAAAGCCUGGGUUUUUGCCCCAUUCUAAUCCUGAUGCAUUGUGUGACCCUGGGCAAAACCCCCAUUCCCAACACCCGGUGUGACUUUGGACAUGACCUUAUCUCCCCAGGUCUCAUCUCCUCCCCUUUACAAUGGGAGUGUGAGACAAGGCACUCAGUCCCUGUGGGUCUCUCCUGCUCAGUAUUCCAUGACUCCAUGAUUCUGUUCCUCAGACCAAGGCACAGAUCAUCCUACAGGGUCCAGAAAUGGGGUGACAUGAGGCUGGGCUCAUAGGUGGCACAGGGACAUUCCAGUACCUGCCUGAGGAGGCAGAGCAGGUGCCGCUUCACUGCUGGCAUCUUUUCAGAGCCAUGGGAAACUAUCACCCAGGGCUCAGGGAUGGAGUCAGCUUUGCAUGGUGCUGGUUCUCAGUAGCAUGACCUGUGACACCCUCAUAGGCAAUGACCUCUUUAGUGGGUGGUGGAGAAACUUGAAGGACUGGUGAGGGUGAAUGGCAGGAAAGGGGCAGGCAGGUAGUAAGAAGGCAUUGUGGCAUUCUAGGCCUGACUUGGAUUUGUUUUUUAUAGGCUGUAUUUGUCAUUAUUUAGUCAACAGGUCCACUCUCUUUUUAAAAGAAGGUGGUUGUCUUAGUUUGGGUUAAGCUAUGAGCAGACUCUAAGACAAAAAUUCAAGUGCAAGUAGUUUAUUUGGGAGAGCAUCCCAGGAAAUGCUGCCAGGGAGCAUGGAAAUAAAGCGGGGCACGAGAGGACACAGUGAAUGGCAUGUUAUCAUGCAAGUGACCCCUGUUGGGCAACUGGGUCUUGAUCAUGCUGGGGAACCAGUGUGGUAUGUAUGUUCAGCCUUGGUGUUAAGCCAGUUGGGGGAUGAGACAAGUGGAGUAUGUAUCCCCAACUUGGGUGUCAGGGCAUCAGCCACUGAUUAAGGAUUGCUCCAGGGAGGGGGCUGUGAGUUCCCAGCAUGUCUGGCCUGUUCCAGGAAUGACCAACAGGGAGAGCUCCCAGGCAGAGUGGCAGGUGCUAAGGGCAUGUGGAUGAGGCCCCAAGUAUCUGCCACAGAGGGUUGUGAGCCAGAAGCUAAAUCACCUACCCCUGAGGAGGGGUCUGAGCUCCACUGCAAACUGCUGGGGGCUGGGGUGGAAAUGGGGAGGAAGAUUGAGUAAGUCAUUUGACCUCUUGGGGCUUCAGUUUUCUCAUCCAACAGAUAGAAUGGGAUCCCUGCUGUGUCUAUCACACACAAAAUCAAAUCCCAAAUUAUAAAAAGAUGAGUAUACACUCCUCCCUCUCCAGUCUGUCCUCCCCACCUGCCUGCCCCAAUACCACAUACCAAUUGUCAUUCACUUCAGCUAGGAUUGUCAGCAUUUUGGUCCUCCCAGCAUCUAUAUAGCUAGCUCUCCCGCUCAUCCUGGCCAUGGACCCAUCCCCCUUAGAAUGGACAAGGACUUUAGAUCUAGAAAUUAAGAUUUUUAGGUUCAAGAGGGAGCAGAGUUAUAUGGGCCUGGGAAACAAGAGGUCCGGAUUAAAAUGUCAGUUCAUUCAUUCAUUCACUUAAUAUUUAUUGAGGACCUACCGUACCCACAGGUUGAGGGUGCUUCUUGAAGAAGACACCAUUCCCCAAGGAGCUCUGUGUCCUUGGGUAAGCAGGUUCCUUGCUCUCUCUUGGCUUCAGUCUCCCCAGCUAUGAAAUGGGCCAGGUGGUUCCUGAGGUCCCUUCCAGCACUGGCAUUUUUUUGCUUUACAUACAGCAUCCCCCAAUCUCCUUGAGAUCUGCGGCCUGGCAUCCAAGAGGCGUACAGGGGGACCAGGCCCCAGCUGAAUCUGGAGACAGUAGGCAGGAGCAGGGAAAGAUCCAUGAUCUCCAAUGAGACUGUCACUGUGCCUGGGCUUUGCCUGCUGUGCGCGCUGCCCUAAGCUCUGCAAACAGCGUCUGAAGAUGGUGGAUUUGGACAGCAUUAAGCUGUAUUAAGUGGAGCUGUUUCUACAAAGACAACGUUUUAGGAUAAACCUGGCACCAAAGGCACAUUGAGGAUGUAGCACUUGUAAGCAGUGGCUUCCUGCCAUCCGCAGCACCUAGCACAGAGAACUGUUCCCCCUACUCCACCCACACGCAGGACUCUCUGGGGAGAAAACUGCACAGCAUCCCGCUCCUUUCUUACUUCUGGGAACACAUCCCUGGCACCCAAGGCACCUGACCCAGGCUGAGCCAAUCAGAGGACACCAUCCUCAUGGCUGCUGUGAUUCAUCCAAGGGUGACCACGUGACCCAAGUCCUUUCUUGGGAUGCUUCUCCUCCUCCUCCUCCGCCUCCUCCUCCUCCUCCUCCUCCUCCUCCUCCUCCUCCUUCUCCUCUUCCUCGUUCUUCUUCUUCUCCUUCUUCUUUUUUUGCCCAUGAGAAAGAAUCCUCUCCUGAUGGGUGAUGGAGAAGUGAACCUAGAGCUGUUGAAACCAUGUCCUCAUCAUAGAGAAGCCUGCGGAAGGAAGGAAUUAAACCAACAGUUAGCGAUGAAAAGCUGAGAAGAGUGUUUUGGUGUUUGAGUUCCUGGUCCCAGACCACCCUAGGGCCAGCCCCAUCCUUUCCCUUCUUGGUUACUGAAAACAAUAAAAUGACUUCUUACGCUUUCUUUAUUAUGAAAUACAACUUCUUUACCUGAGUUUUAUUUCUAACACCCAAAAACAAGAGAAUCCUAGAUGAGAACAAUACCUUCCAUGUAUAGAGCUUACUGUGUGCCAGGAGCUUUUCACUGUAUCACCUUACAUGAUCCUGCACACAGCCACAUGGGCCACAAUUAUUGCACCCAUUUUACGGAUGAGGAAGCUGUGAGGCAGAGGGUUGAUUUACCUAAGGUCCCUCAGCUAUCAACAAGUGACCAAGCAGGGAUUCAAACCCAGUUCUGGCUAACAUCGAAAACCACAUGCUUACCCCUUUGGCCAGAGUGCUCCUGAAGAGUGUGUAUCCUGAAACCCCUCUAGUUCCCAUCCUCUGAGUGGCUGCCUUCAGGACAGACACAGCUUUUAUUACUUAAUUUGACCUUUUGUGUCUUGGUUUCUUGGGCUGCAUUUGCAUUGCAAAUAAAAUUACUGCCAUAGUAGUUUUUGAAUAAUGAGGGCUUAUGAUGGCUCUUAGCAGCUUAGCAGGUUAAAGUCUCCGCUUUGACCUCUUCUCAUACCUUCACUGAACUGAGCAAAUCCUUUACCGACAUCCUUUGGAAUGUGAGCUAUUUCUGAUCUUACCAAAUAAUAGCCUUAAGAACUGCCACCAAUAUUGUUACCUCCAAAGGCUCAGAGAGGUGAAAUAAUUUACCUAGGUCACCCAGCUUGUCAGGCAGAGCAGAAUUUGGAGCCCAAUUCUUUGUUUAAUUUAUUCCUUUCUGAUAGAUUUCUGGAUCCUUAUAGCCCUCAGGGUUUCAAGCCCUCUGCCACCAAACCCCCGUAUCCAGUCCCAGAUGACAGUGAUGUUGGAACUAACACUGGUAGAGAGUGGUAUAGAGAGCCUUACCUUUCUGCUUUUACCCAGAAAGAGCUUGAGUUUCCCUCAUUAGAACCUCCCAUGGGAGCUGUAGACAAGGCUGUGGGCAGGGACUUGGGCUAGAGUAGCUGCCUUACCCUCCAAUGACUGAGAGGUCCCCCAAAGCCAGUGUAGACCAGAGGGGGCACAGGUGAGCUCAGGGCUGGCUUAGCAGUGGCAGUGAAUCACUGAGCAACCUUGGACAUGAUCAUCACCACCUACUCUGCUUCCAAGAAAAAAAUAAUGCAACCCCUCUUAUUGAGCAGUUUUGUAUGUGCACUCAUAAUCACCCCAGUGAGGUAGAUCCUACAGUAUAGUCACCUCACCUGGCAGAUGGGGAGCCUGAGGCACAAAGCAAUGAAAUCACACGUCCAAGGAAACAUGACACACCAGCAAGUGGCAGAACUGGGAUUUGGGCCCAGGCAGUCUGGUUCCAGAGUCGAUUCGUUUAUAUCAUCUUUCUUUUUAUUUAUAUUUCUUUUCUUAAAACAACAAAUGUAUUAUUGCAGAGUUCUGGAGGCUAGAAGUCCAAAAUCAUUAUCAUCCUUCUUUUGAAUCAUCAACCAGGGUAUUUUCUGCCAUUGAAUCAUUCCCGAUUUGGUGGGGAGGAGGACAGGGCACGCCAGACAGCAUGAUUCUGAGGUUGAAAUCACCAAUUUUGUAUUAAAACUAGAGUAAACUUAUCUAAUCUCAUUUAAAGGCAGCCCACAUGGCUUAUUUUAUUAUUUUUUUGAAAGUUUAUUUAUUUAUUCUCAGAGAGAGGGAGAGAGGGAGAGAGAGAAUCCCAAGCAGGCUCCACGAUGGGGCUUGAUCCCACGAACCUCAAGAUCAUGACCUGAGCCUAAAUCAAGAGUUGGAUACUUAACUGACUGAGCCACCCAAGUGCCCCUUAUUAUUUUUUAAAAAAGGAAAAAAGCCCUGUUCUUUGCCAUUUGUGUGGGCAGAUUGGAUGAGCGUUAUCUCAGCAGGGUCCUCCCAGUUCUUUACAGUUUGCGCAACCAACUUCUGUGUCUCUGAACUCAGGAUCCUCUGGUGAGGCAACGAGUGUUGUCUCCCAUUUUACUGAUGAGGAACCUGGGGCCAGAGGGGGCAAACACUUGCUAAGUGUGUGCAUGAGCUUGCGUGUUUGUGCGCACACACACACACACACUUGUGUGUGAAAGUUUCAGUGUGCAGGUGCAAAAGGGCCAUGAAUGCUCCUGCAAGCCUGGAUCCCAGCUGUGAGAGGAGCUUGUCAGUUUCAAUGCUUGGAGGGGAGUGUUCCAGCCCACUGCCUGUGUAUGGAGUCACUCAGACUUAGCUAAGUACACAGCAGCCAGGAGCCGGCAUUGCAGCAGCUGAAAUCAGAGGGCAGCACAAAAAUGUAGGUGUAGCUCCCUCCCUCCUACCCCCCUUCUCCUCUUCUCCUGCCUCCCACAGGGUGGAACUGCUUGGAACAGGCCUGGCCCCGCCAACGAGUCUGCACAUGCAGCAUCCAAGAACAACUGCAGGGCAAGACAUGUGCCCUGAUACACAUGCAUGCAUGUACAUGCAGAUGUGGACACACAUGGCUUUCUAGGAGGUAUGCUCAGGAAAGGUGUGGGGCUCUGGGUUCUGGUCUGGCUAAGCCUUUGCCUCUUUGGUGACUUCUGACCCUUUCCUCCUCUAAGUUUUGGCUUUCCAUCUAUAAAAUGGGCAUGAUGUUGUCUACCUCCCAGAGCUGUUACAAGUAUCCAGAAAAAGAUGUUAGGAUCUGAGAACUCUGGGUCUGAAGGUGCCCUGGGAGGCAAUUAGCCCAAUUGCUAAUUCCUAGAGAUACUAAGGCCCAGAGAGGGAGAGGGAAUUGCCCAGAUCACAGAGCAAGUCAGGCAUAGAUUGGCUAGGACACAGGCCACUUGACUCCUGGGACCCACAUGCCAAGUGCAAGGCUUGGCCAUGAAAAGAGCAAAGUGCUGUCUGAGGUGAGUUCUUGCUCUUGUGUCUAAACAUUCUUGUAGGUGUGAUUUGAGACCAAAAUACUUUGUGAAUACUACUUAUUAACACAACUUCACAUGUACUCUGCUGGAGGGAUGCCUUUUUUUUGGGUGAAAUAUUAGCUCAGAGAGUCAAACAAAAGACAUUAUGAAUCUCAGUUUGCUUAACAUCUUUGGUUUGCUUUAUGCCUACAAGUUCAUACCAAGCGCUUACAUAUCUUCUGGGCUCUUUAGUGGCACUCUAUCAAUCCAGCUUUCCCCAAACAAUAAAUUCCAAAAUAGGUAGAAAGGCAGGGGAGCCAGGUCUCAGGGCCACUGAGAGUGUUUGCCCAAGUUCUUGACCCGCCACUUGCCCAUCUGUUAGCUGCUAGGCUUGCAUUCAUCUGGUGUGUUUUCCCUGCCCAUGCCUGCGUCGGCACCUGGGGCGCACCCCAACUCUACUUCCUCACCUUGAUGCUCACUUUGCCCUCUGUACCACAGCUUUCCGUUCACAUGCCUGUCUAUCUGUCAGGUUGGCUACUCCUGGAGGCAGGAACUGAAAUCCCAGUGCUCCUCAGGACCGAGCCUUCUGUUACUGCUCAGGAAAUGUGUGUCCUCUGGAGGGGCUCCCAGAUGAGUCCAGUCAUGCAGCUGCAAGAGGAAGGAAGAACCUAAAGACAGUAGGUAAGGCAUUGGGAGGGUGAGCGUUCCUUCCUCCCACUGCUUCUGCCACCGAGCCCGUGGACUAUUCCAGACUAAGUGGCAGCACUUCCUGGGUGACUGAGAUUCUCUUCAUAGUAAUUACAUCCAUUCAUUCAGCGCAUACCAUGUGUGAAACACUUCAUAUAUUUGUUAGCUCUCAUCCUAACAUCAGCUCUAAACCCAUUUUCAAGAUUGGGACCUGAGGUUCAGAAACCUCCAUUCAUUUGCUUCAAAGAGAGGAGCUAGGAUUUGACCUCAGGUCUGUCUGAUUUUAAAGGCCAUGCUCACUCUGAUAACACAGGCCUCUUCCGGAACACUGAUACUCUCAGGAAACUCACAGCUAAGGGAUUUCCUUAUUGUAGACACAGAGAAGAUAGGACCCUCUCUCCCUGUGGACUUUCCUUCAUCUCCUUGACCUCAGUUUUCCCAUGGGUGCAGUGAGGAACAGGGCCAGAUCCACUUAAACUUACUCACAAUUCUGAUAAACCAUCCACAUUCUUUAUUUGGGCUUUUAGGAGUGAAGACAAGGAGGAAGUGGGCUGGGAGAGAACCCAGUUAUAACUGGGGUUCUCAGUAGGGGACAGGGAGGGACUCAGGCUGCCUGGGAUGGUGAUAAUUCACCUCACCAAUCCACAGUCGUGGAAACAUGGAAUCCAGGAAGGUUUGACACCUCGAUGAGCAGUAGAAUCACCUGGGGAUACUUGCUAACAUGCAGACUCCUGGGUCCUGUUCCUGGAGAAACCAAGGUUUGAGGCAGAGACAGGAUUGGGGAUUUUUAACAAACACUCCUGAUGAUUCUGAGACCAAAGUUUAGGAGCCACUGCCUGAGAGAUCUGGGUUCUAGGAUUCUUCUAAGUUUGAACAGUAGGGGCCAGCAAAUCUAAUAUGGGGGCAAUACUACUGUGAGUUAUAGCUCCUGAUUCAUUUGACAUAGUCACACAUAAUAAGAUAUUUUUAUAUCCUGCCUUGAUCCAAAUAAUAUUUAAAAUGAUAUAGGAAAAAUACACUCAGAAUCCCAAAGUUGAAAGUUAAUUAGUACUGGGCGCCUGGGUGACUCAGUUGUUAAGUAUCUGACUUUGGCUCAGGUCACGAUCUCAUGGUUGGUGAGUUCAAGCCCCACAUCAAGUGAGCUCAAGCCCCGUAUCGGGUGAGCAUGAGCCCCACUUCGAGUAAAAACACGAGCCCCGGUGAACCUCGCUUCUCUCUCCCUCUCUCUCUCUCUCUCUCUCUGCCCCUCUCUCACUUGCAUCCUCUCUCUCUAAAAAAAAAAAAAGAAAGAAAAAGAAAAAAAAGAAAAGAAAGUUAAUUAGUACUUUCAUAUAUAUACCUAUUAAAAAUGCAUGUCUAUAUUAAAAGAUAUUUAUGAGAAUGUUCAGAGCAGCAUAGCUAUACAUUGCUAACAACCGAAGUGUCUUGCAACAGUAGAAUGGACAAAUAAAUUGCAAUGUAUUUGAACAAUGGACAGCUAUGUUUCAGUGGAAAUGAAAUAAACCAUUGCUACACUGAAAAACAUGAAUGAAUCAUACAGACAUAAUGUAGAGAGAAGGAAGCUAGACACAGAAGAAUACUUAUUGUAUGAUUUCAUUUAUAAUAAAAAAAAGUAUGAAUGGAAAAAUGAAUCAUGAUGAUACCUCUGAGGGGUGUUGAUGGGGAGAGGGCAAGAAGAAGUCUCCUGUGGUCUCGUAAUGUUCUAUAUGUUGAUCCACAGGCAGAGCCAUAGGCAUAUAUAUAUUUGUAAAAAUUCAUUAAGGUAUACACAUUAUCUGUAUGCACUUUCCUGAGUAUAUAUCAUACUUCAAUUUUUUUAAAUGUUAAGAAAAAGAUAGUAAGUAGUGGGAAUCUCAGUGAACUACAAAACGUUGCUGCCACACAAACCAUAUCCACUGGCCAGAAUGCAAAGCAGUUAGAAUUCAGUUAUUGAAAGAUAGCUCCAUCUCACAAAUCCAUACAUCUGGAAACAAAAGCACACUUGUAAAUAUCAGCUCUCUUAGAUGUCGCCAAAGCGGUGCUUGGAGGGAAAUUUAUAGCUUUAGCUAUAUUCGCUCUUAAAAGAGAAAAUUUUAAAAAUAAGCACUGGGAUCAGUAAACUUUCAAUUCAAGAGGCUAGAGUAAGAAUAAAAUAAACCCAGAGGGAAUAGAAGGAUGAAGCUAAUGAGGUUGAAAUUAGAAAUGAUUGGAAUAGAAACAACCACAUCAAACAAAACCCAGUACAGAUGAUCAACAAAACAGAAAGCCAGUUCUUUGAAAAACUGAUGAUAUAAACUAACCUUAGGAAUAAUUAAGGGAAAUAAUAAGAUACAAACACUAUCAAGAACACACCUAAGGGUAGGAGUUGCAGGAGAAAUCUGACUACAGACACAGAUGUAAAACUGUAUAGAACGGGGGUGUCUGGGUGGCUCAGUCAGUAAAGCAUCUGACUUUUUUUUUUAAAAGCUUAUUUAUUUUGAGAGAGACCGAGCUCGGG